AUACUUACCUUAAGAUGUCAGAGGAGAUCAAGUAGUCCUACUGACCGAAUAUAUCCUUCCAAUCAGAAGAAUGCUAAGCAUUUAAGUCAUUGUUAUGGAUUCGUUACAUUUCAAUACUUUUUAAUUGAUGUAAGCUUCUUAGCCACUUACACAUACUCGCGGAAGGUAUAUUUGCUGACGUUUCGUUUUCUCGUGUACCUUGAAAGGUAACUCUUGAUUUCCUGCCUAAGGUUUUCAAGUCUUACUUCUUUUUAGGGCACCCUUUUUCCCUUCUGCCUGGAGAAGUUUGACACCGAGUACAAAUCGGUGUUGAGGAAGCUGGGACCAACAGGAAGAGAUUAUUCUUCAAAGAUGACUGUGGCUCUAUAUGAGAAGAGGUAUCGACUAGUUAAAAGAGUUGAUCCUGAAAUAAGGAGGUUAAACUUUUUCACUGACAUGAUCAUCUUCUUAUAUAUCUAUGGUUACUUUACUUCGGUAAAGAGUCUUUGAAGUUCAAUUAGCUCCAUGUGAGAAAAUUCUUUUGGUUUUGGUAGAAACGGGUGGGUCUUAUAAUUUUUGAUUUAUUUU
rnacentral:snRNA from 1 species